rnacentral:rRNA from 1 species
ACUCAAAUGAAUAGACGGGGACCCGCACAAGCGGUGGAGCAUGUGGUUUAAUUCGACGAUAAGCGAGGAACCUUACCAAGGCUUGACAUGUAGCUGCAUCUUCCGGAAACGGAAGCGCCUUCGAGGGUGCUACACAGGUGCUGCACGGUUGUCGUCAGCUCGUGCCGUGAGGUGUUCACUUAAGUGUGAAAACGAGCGCAACCCCUAUUGUAAGUUACAAGUGUCUUACGAAACUGCCAGCGUUUAAGCUGGAGGAAGGUGGGGAUGACGUCAAAUCAGCGUGGCUCUUACGCCUUGGGCGACACACGUGCUACAAUGGAUAGAUACAAAGGGACGCCAAAGCGCAAGCUGGAGCAAAUCCUAUCAAAGCUAUCCCCAGUUCGGAUUGAGGGCUGCAACUCGCCCUCAUGAAGCCGGAAUCGCUAGUAACCGUAGAUCAGCCUCGCUACGGUGAAUACGUUCUCGGGUUUUGUACACACCGCCCGU